CACAUGGUGCGCAUACCGCGCCUACACGUGUGUCGAUCGCAAUAACGACGCAACUACGCAAGAUUCUGCUUUCGCUCGUAGACUGGCGUGUACGUGCGUCCAUGUGAACCUAGCCUAAAACCUAAAAGACUGAACAUUGAAGAAUAAAACGUAUUAACAUCGUUCGCUAUACUCAUUAGUCAUAUUCAUUUACUUACUUUAAACAUUUUGGAAUAUAGCCAGACGUGUGUUCGUGUUGCAUGUAGUAUUGAAGUUUGGUCCAAUGCUUUGACAUUUCCACCAGAUGAUUUUAUUCUGUGAUGCAUAACCAAUUUUUUGUAAGCAUCACUGAAAUGAUUUGCUGUUGGAUUGACACACCAACCUCCACGAGCCCUUAUUGCAUUGAAAAACAAUUCCAAGUGAUCCUGAGACAAUUUAUAUGUUAACAAAUAUUUGAACUGCUCAGGAUUUUGAACUAUAACAUCUUCAAAUAUUUGUUUAACACUCAUGGAUGAUAUAAUAAUGCCCAAAAAUCCAGUUUUUUUAGGAUGUUCAAUCAUCAAUCCCUGUCCAUGACCCCAUGGCUUUUGGAUCCAUGGCCAUAGGGAUUUCUUGAGUUGAGUAUGUCAAACCACUUAUCUACAAAUCGUAUGAAUUCAGUUGUUGCUUCACUGUUUUCAAACCCAUUGAUUUUUAAGUUUCUACAAAAAUCUAUAGCAUCUGCUACACUGGAACUCAAAGUCUGUGCAGCAAUAUUUACCUUCAUAGGAGACUGCUUCCAUUCCAAAUGCCUUUUUUUUAGUUUGUUACCUGCAUGAAGCCCUUCUGAUUCUUGAAGCAUUACAAGCUUUUCAAUUUUAAGUGCAUG